UGAGGAAUAUUGGUCAAUGGGCGAGAGCCUGAACCAGCCAAGUCGCGUGAGGGAAGACGGUCCUACGGAUUGUAAACCUCUUUUGUCGGGGAGCAAUAAGGCGUACGAGUACGCAGAUGCGAGUACCCGAAGAAAAGCAUCGGCUAACUCCGUGCCAGCAGCCGCGGUAAUACGGAGGAUGCGAGCGUUAUCCGGAUUUAUUGGGUUUAAAGGGUGCGCAGGCGGAAAGUGCAAGUCAGCGGUCAAACGACGGGGCUCAACCCCGUCUCGCCGUUGAAACUGUCUUUCUAGAGUGAGCGAGAAGUAUGCGGAAUGCGUGGUGUAGCGGUGAAAUGCAUAGAUAUCACGCAGAACUCCGAUUGUGAAGGCAGCAUACCGGCGCUCAACUGACGCUCAUGCACGAAAGCGUGGGUAUCGAACAGGAUUAGAUACC
rnacentral:rRNA from 1 species